GCCCUGGUGGCACAGUGGUUAAGUGCUUGGCUGCUAACCAAAAGGUUGGAGGUUCGAACCCACCCAGUGGCU
rnacentral:tRNA from 1 species